rnacentral:rRNA from 1 species
AUUGAACGCUGGCGGCAGGCCUAACACAUGCAAGUCGAACGAGUGGCGGACGGGUGAGUAAUGUCUGGGAAACUGCCUGAUGGAGGGGGCUAACUACUGGAAACGGUAGCUAAUACCGCAUACCAUCGGAUGUGCCCAGAUGGGAUUAGCUAGUAGGUGGGGUAAAGGCUCACCAAGGCGACGAUCCCUAGCUGGUCUGAGCGGCUGACCAGCCACACUGGAACUGAGACACGGUCCAGACUCCUACGGGAGGCAGCAGUGGGGAAUAUUGCACAAUGGGCGCAAGCCUGAUGCAGCCAUGCCGCGUGUAUGAAGAAGGCCUUCGGGUUGUAAAGUACUUUCAGCGGGGAGGCGUUACCCGCAGGAGAAGCACCGGCUAACUCCGUGCCAGCGGCCGCGGUAAUUC